rnacentral:snoRNA from 1 species
UUCUGCCAAUGAUGAGUUGCAACGCAUAGCCUACAUUGUCUGACAAACAAUUUCAUGAUAAAGAGUGCCACAACUGAGGCUUAG